rnacentral:rRNA from 1 species
GAUGAACGCUUGCGGCAGGCUUAAUACAUGCAAGUCGAACGGUAACAGGGUCUUCGGACUGCUGACGAGUGGCGGAUGGGUGAGUAACGCGUAUGCAACCUUCCUCACACCGAGAAAAAGUCGACUGAAAAGUUGAAUAAAGUCUCGUGAUGUACACGUCCCGCAUGAGAUGUGUAUGAUAGAAGCAAUUUGGUGUGAGAUGGGCAUGCGUAUCAUUAGCUAGUUGGUAGGGUAACGGCUUACCAAGGCGACGAUGAUUAGGGGGCCUGAGAGGGUGGUCCCCCACACUGGGACUGAGACACGGCCCAGACUCCUACGGGAGGCAGCAGUAGGGAAUAUUGGUCAAUGGGCGGAAGCCUGAACCAGCCAUGCCGCGUGAUGGAUGACGGCCUUAGGGUUGUAAACAUCUUUUCUGCUAGAGGAAUAGAGUUCACGCGUGGACAGACGACUGUAUAGCAGGAAUAAGGAUCGGCUAACUCCGUGCCAGCAGCCGCGGUAAUACGGAGGAUUCGAGCGUUAUCCGGAUUUACUGGGUUUAAAGGGUGCGCAGGCGGGCUCUUAAGUCAGCGGUGAAAUGUCUGGGCUUACCCUAGGAAUUGCCGUUGAUACUGGGAGUCUUGGAUAAGCAUAAGGACGGCGGAAUGCGUAGUGUAGCGGUGAAAUGCUUAGAUAUUACGUAGAAGACCAAUUGCGAAGGCAGCUAUCUGGGUCUUUAUCGACGCUCAAGCACGAAAGCGUGGGGAGCAAACAGGAUUAGAUACCCUGGUAGUCCACGCCGUAAACGAUGAUCACUCGCUCUUGGCGAUAUGCUGUCAGGGGCCAAGCGAAAGCGUUAAGUGAUCCACCUGGGGAGUACGGCCGCAAGGCUGAAACUCAAAGGAAUUGACGGGGGCCCGCACAAGCGGAGGAACAUGUGGUUUAAUUCGAUGAUACGCGAGGAACCUUACCUGGGCUAGAACGG